rnacentral:rRNA from 1 species
UACGUAGGUGGCAAGCGUUGUCCGGAUUUACUGGGCGUAAAGAGCGCGCAGGCGGUUGGAUAAGUCGAAUGUGAAAGCCCCCCGGCUUAACUGGGGGAGGGUCAUUCGAUACUGUUCAACUUGAAGGCAGGAGAGGGCAGCAGAAUUCCCGGUGUAGUGGUGAAAUGCGUAGAUAUCGGGAGGAAUACCAGUGGCGAAGGCGGCUGCCUGGCCUGUUCUUGACGCUGAGGCGCGAAAGCUGGGGAGGCAAACGGGG